AAAUUAAUUUUAUUGUCGAUAAGUUAAGAGUUGGGAAAUUUCUGAGAUAAGAUUUUGUUAAUAGUACUUAUAGAAACGUCAUUUAUAACAAUUAAUUUAGAAAAUUUUGUUAGUUACUGUAAACAUAGAAUGGUUAGGAGAAUAUGAUGUAACAAAUGAUAGAAGAACUUGCAUAAGAGUUUUGCAAAGAAAAUUAAGUUUCCUUUUAAUUUCACGAUUGAUUGAAAAAGUUAUCCAGAAAGAAAGUAUGAACGACAAAUUACUAUUUCUUAUUGUAUUAAUCUACUAUCAAGAUAAAAUAGGUUAGAAAAGAGGAUUUCUAUGUGCACUCGUCGGAGUACAAAAGAAAACUUUGUCGGCGAUCAACAAAGUUAAUAAAAAGUGCGUUUAUGUUUAUAUUUCACAGAACCAACUUUCCGGAGAUCAAAAUUUUUAAGUAUGACAAUUUUUAAUUAAAAUUAUUUGUAAAAAAUUAAAAUUUCCUUGCGUGUUUCGGUCUUUUUAUGUUUUCACGUUUAGAAAGAAUGAGCUUCGAUUUUUUUCUCGUUGUGUUACUAUAUCGUACUUUGUACUUUUAAAUAUUUGUAUAAACUAUUACGAUAGAAUAUUAUCUGUCAUACUAAUUCAUUUAAAUUAACUACACUCAUAUAUUUAUAUUUAAA